rnacentral:rRNA from 1 species
UACGAAGGGGGCUAGCGUUGCUCGGAAUCACUGGGCGUAAAGCGCACGUAGGCGGAUUGUUAAGUCAGGGGGUGAAAUCCUGGAGCUCAACUCCAGAACUGCCUUUGAUACUGGCGAUCUUGAGUCCGGGAGAGGUGAGUGGAACUGGCGAGUGUAGAGGUGAAAAUUCGUAGAUAUUCGCAAGAACACCAGUGGCGAAGGCGGCUCACUGGCCCGGUACUGACGCUGAGGUGCGAAAGCGUGGGGAGCAACAGGG